GACGAACGCUGGCGGCGUGCUUAACACAUGCAAGUCGAACGGUGAAGCGCCUUCCUUUUUGGUGGGUGUGGAUGAGUGGCGAACGGGUGAGUAACACGUGAGUAACCUGCCCCCUUCUCCUGGAUAACCGCAUGAAAGUGUGGCUAAUACGGGAUAUUCUGGGUCUGUCGCAUGAUGGGUCUGGGAAAGAUAUUGUUUCGGUGGGGGAUGGGCUCGCGGCCUAUCAGCUUGUUGGUGGGGUGAUGGCCUACCAAGGCGGUGACGGGUAGCCGGCCUGAGAGGGUGGACGGUCACACUGGGACGGAGACACGGCCCAGACUCCUACGGGAGGCAGCAGUGGGGAAUAUUGCACAAUGGGCGCAAGCCUGAUGCAGCGACGCCGCGUGAGGGAUGGAGGCCUUCGGGUUGUGAACCUCUUUCGCCAGUGAAGCAGGCCUGCCUCGUUUGUGGGUGGGUUGACGGUAGCUGGAUAAGAAGCGCCGGCCAACUACGUG
rnacentral:rRNA from 1 species